rnacentral:rRNA from 1 species
UACGUAGGGAGCAAGCGUUGUCCGGAAUCAUUGGGCGUAAAGCGCGCGUAGGUGGCCACAUAAGUCCGUUGUGAAAGUCAAAGGCUCAACCUUUGAAAGCCGAUGGAUACUGUGUGACUAGAGUUCGGAAGAGGCGAGUGGAAUUCCCGGUGUAGCGGUGAAAUGCGCAGAUAUCGAGAGGAACACCUGCGGCGAAGGCGGGUUGCUGGGCUGAUACUGACGCUGAGGCGCGAAAGCCAGGGGAGCGAACGGG